rnacentral:rRNA from 1 species
UACGUAGGGUCCGAGCGUUGUCCGGAAUUACUGGGCGUAAAGAGCUCGUAGGUGGUUUGUCGCGUUGUUCGUGAAAACUCACAGCUCAACUGUGGGCGUGCGGGCGAUACGGGCAGACUGGAGUACUGCAGGGGAGACUGGAAUUCCUGGUGUAGCGGUGGAAUGCGCAGGUAUCAGGAGGAACACCGGUGGCGAAGGCGGGUCUCUGGGCAGUAACUGACGCUGAGGAGCGAAAGCGUGGGGAGCGAACAGG